CCUACGGGUGGCAGCAGUGAGGAAUAUUGGUCAAUGGGCGCGAGCCUGAACCAGCCAAGUAGCGUGAAGGAUGACGGCCCUACGGGUUGUAAACUUCUUUUAUAAAGGAAUAAAGUGAGGCACGUGUGCCGUUUUGUAUGUAUUUUAUGAAUAAGGAUCGGCUAACUCCGUGCCAGCAGCCGCGGUAAUACGGAGGGUGCGAGCGUUAAUCGGAAUUACUGGGCGUAAAGGGUUCGUAGGCGGUAUGUCAAGUCAAGGGUGAAAUCCCCGGGCUCAACGUGGGAACUGCCUUUGAAACUGGCAAACUGGAGUGUGUGAGAGGAAAGUGGAAUUCCAGGUGUAGCGGUGAAAUCCGUAGAUAUCUGGAGGAACAUCAGUGGCGAAGGCGACUCACUGGACCAUAACUGACGCUGAGGAGCGAAAGCGUGGGUAGCAAACAGGAUUAGAUACCCGUGUAGUC
rnacentral:rRNA from 1 species